GACGAACGCUGGCGGCGUGCUUAACACAUGCAAGUCGAACGGAAAGGCCCUGCUUUUGUGGGGGGCUCGAGUGGCGAACGGGUGAGUAACAAGGGAGUAACCUGCCCUUGACUUGGGGAUAACGUCAGGAAACUGGGGCUAAUACCGGAUAGGAGCUCCUGCGGCAGGGUGGGGGUUGGAAAGUUUCGGCGGUUGGGGAUGGACUCGCGGCUUAUCAGCUUGUUGGUGGGGUAGUGGCUUACCAAGGCUUUGACGGGUAGCCGGCCUGAGAGGGUGACCGGCCACAUUGGGACUGAGAUACGGCCCAGACUCCUACGGGAGGCAGCAGUGGGGAAUAUUGCACAAUGGGCCGAAGCCUGAUGCAGCAACGCCGCGUGCGGGAUGACGGCCUUCGGGUUGUAACCCGCUUUCGCAUGUGACGACGCGUGAGUGACGGUAAUGGGUAAAGAAGCACCGGCUAACUACGUG
rnacentral:rRNA from 1 species